CAUUAGUUCUGCCUAGGGAAUUGGGAAAGCAUUCAUAAAGGAAAUGAGCUUUGAUCUGGGCUUUGAAUGAUGAGUGGAAUCUUACCAGAUGGAAAAAGAUGAGAAAUAGAUUCCAGGCAGUGAGCACAGCACAUGACAAGGCAUGAAGACAUCAAAGAGGCCCCGGAGAGUCUAUGGAAUGGAUGAACACCAAGAAAUUCUAGGGCCUAGGAUCAAAUUUGGAGUCUAAAAUGACAGCCCAGGCAGGAGAUAGAUGCAGCAUAUUCCACUGAUGGGUCCUUGUGGAAAAUAUCUUCUUCUGAAAAGAGCAUCUUGAGAAGAGACAAUUUCACCUUCUGCUGGAAGUUGAUUGCCUCCAUGUGACGCUUGGAGUUGCCACGCUACCAUUUUGCUAUGCUAAGAGGAGCUCAUCUGUGAACAAAGCCUAUAUUCAACAAGGAACCUGAUUUCUUGGUGAUGCUAUGGAACAACUGAUUUACCUAAACCUUUGAGAUUUUUCCCUACUGAGUUCACUGUUGUGUGGAGAACCCUUGGGUCCCCUAAAGAAGGAGUUGCAAAUUUGUUUGUUGAGCUCAGAGGAAUGGUGUGGGCCAUGCUGGUUGUCUGGAAAGGUCACUGCAUCAGAAGUGUGGGCUUGGCCAUCUUCCUUUCUGUCUUAUUGCACCAAUGAGCUUCCAAAGCACCGAAGAACUCAGCUCUUCAGCUCCAAAGUUAGACUGAAAAGACUGACUCAGAGGUGUAGUGAACCCCAAGGUGAGUUUCAGCCAGUCAGAGAUUGCACUGUUGUGAUCCUGGAAUCUCUUGAAAAUAAUACGUAUUUUAAUUUUUUUACACGUCCUUGUUCCUUGUAUUCACAGUUUCCUAUGAAGAAAGGAAGAAAUGAUUAAGCCAAAAUAGGGGUCGGCCUUUGCUCAUCGAAUUGUUGACUAAUUUCACAGUAAAGUACCCAAAAUCUUAAUUAACAUUUGGACUUUUUAAUAUUCAACAAGUAUUUAAUAAGUACCUAGUAUCACCAGGAACUAAUUUAGGCUGUCAGUGGCCUUCUGUGUUUUGUUUAAAUAGAGGCUUUUAUGUUGAGAAAGUAAGCUGGUGAUGCACUUAGGAUCCAUUUCACGCAUCACCAUUCAGAGUUGUCAUUUGUUGCUGGACCAUCCAUCAGCAAGGCGAAGUCUAGGUUCUAAAUUAGAUUGUUAACUGCUUAUGAUUACAGAAUUUUUGAAAUCACUGCACCAGAUAAAGUACUAUGAUCCCACCCAUCCAUAAGGUCAGAGAUUAAGAAACUUUAAGUAAAAGGACUACACCUGGCUCCACCUGUACCAGCAUUGUUACCCACAUGCUGGUUCCCAGGGAUCCAGGCACAUCAAGAGCUCCACAUCAGUUCUUAUGUUCGUCACCCCAGUGACUGACAGGGUUGACAUAAUUUGAGUAGGCACCAAUGUUGACAGUGCCCCUGCACUGAAAAUUUGGGUAGAAUCCCUUAUCGUGACCAUGUAUCCUUCAUGAGGACAUGUGUAGAUUGGCUUUGUGUGUGUGUAAGAGCUUCCUAACAAUGUGAAUGACAGUCUCCUUUUGCAAUUUCAGAAUAAAAGUUUUCCAUUUAUGAAACUCAAAAUGUUCAUUUUAUGGCAAUAAAUUCAUUAGAGAAACUCUAAAAUACAUCAGGAAUAUUUGGUUAUUAAAGGAUAUACUGUUUUUUUUUUU
rnacentral:lncRNA from 1 species